AAAGAUCCUAGCUUAAUGAAAGUAUCUGGGUUGCAUUCAGGAGAUGUAGGUUAGUGUCCUACGGAUCUUA
rnacentral:tRNA from 1 species